UUGAAUUUUAUCUACUUCUUCUUCUUCUUCUUUUAAAAUGGCCUCCCUUGAGGAAUAGCCAGUAUCAGU